rnacentral:rRNA from 1 species
UAGGGAAUCUUCCGCAAUGGGCGAAAGCCUGACGGAGCAACGCCGCGUGAGUGAAGAAGGAUUUCGGUUCGUAAAGCUCUGUUGUUAGGGAAGAAUGAUUAUGUAGUAACUAUACAUAGUAGAGACGGUACCUAACCAGAAAGCCACGGCUAACUACGUGCCAGCAGCCGCGGUAAUACGUAGGUGUGGCAAGCGUUUGUCCGGAAUUAUUGGGCGUAAAGCGCGCGCAGGUGGUUUAAUAAGUCUGAUGUGAAAGCCCACGGCUCAACCGUGGAGGGUCAUUGGAAACUGUUAAACUUGAGUGCAGGAGAGAAAAGUGGAAUUCCUAGUGUAGCGGUGAAAUGCGUAGAGAUUAGGAGGAACACCAGUGGCGAAGGCGGCUUUUUGGCCUGUAACUGACACUGAGGCGCGAAAGCGUGGGGAGCAAACAGGAUUAGAUACCCUGGUAGUCCACGCCGUAAACGAUGAGUGCUAAGUGUUGGUCUCAUAAGAGAUCAGUGCUGCAGCUAACGCAUUAAGCACUCCGCCUGGGGAGUACGACCGCAAGGUUG